rnacentral:lncRNA from 1 species
AGGGGCUUUCAAAUUCCAGGAAGUCUUUCCAAGUUAGGUCUUCCCCUCUGUUUCUCCUACUUUGCAUCUUUCCUCUUCCUGUCCACCUCUUCUCCCCUUCCUCCUCCUGAGUCCCCCUCAAUACCUAAUGCAAACCGGGAUCCAGAUGGCUCACUAGGGGUUAAAGACCAUGUUGAUAUAUUAAAAAAAAAAUGCAAAGGAGAAAAAUGGGAGAAUCUGAUGAUAACAGCAGGCCCUUUGAAGAGCCACCUUGAAGGAAGUCAAAGAAGUAUAUUUCAGGACACAGAAGCUUGUCCUGGCAAGAAUCCUAUCUGUAAGCUCUACAGAACUAGCAUUUCCUCAAUUUCCAUCUGCCAAGAUGCUAACAGAGAACACAUCAAGGCUUUCACCUAAAGGAGCAACCUCACAAUUUCAAGAUGGUAUUUGCUGAUUUUAAUAGAGCUCGGGGCUAAUUCACAGACAGUAUCAUAUGCAGCCACUGGCAGGAAGAGCAACUUCACUCCACCUCCUUUUGCCCGAAAGAUGAAAAAUCAAUAACCAGUUUCUCAAAAUGAUUCUGCAAUGGCCUGUACCAUGUGGACCAGGCAGCUUCCGCAGCCAGAGGAGACCCACAGGCAGAGAGCUGCAGGAAACCUUCCAAGCAUGGAACUGUCUCCAGGGCGGGUCACCAGGAUGUAGGCAAAGUCAGACAGAAUCUACUAGAAGGUGAUUGGAUUAGAUGACUUCUAACAUGCCUCCAAUCCCUGAAAGCUUAUUUAACAGAGAGGGAUGAGGUUGAAUGCCAUAGUACUACAUCUUUAGAAUUUUUGGCAAUAAGCUUUAGAAGUCUGUGAUCACAGUUGUAACUAGCCCUCCAUCCCAUCAGGAAUUCUGAAAGACAGUGUAGGUUAUACCCCUGGAAUAUACUGAAUAGACGGAAUUGAGGUGUUUAUCCACUAACUCCCAUCAGUUAUGUCUUGAAGACUCUUCCAAGUAGAGCAUCAGCUCCCCAGCAUUUGUGGCUGAUGCCAAGGUAGGCAGAACAGACUUGGGUGGCCAGAAAAUACCCUCAGGCAAAGAGCUGUGGUGCUUGGUGUUCAAAGUCAGCCAGCUUGCAUGGAAAUUGUGAUGACAAAGGUAUAAAUGGGGCACUGAGAACAUCUGCUCUAAAGGAGGUCAAUUUGUUAAGCCCCAAUGAUAUACGCAGAAGAUUUGAGAACUCUGUGACGUAUCAAGUACAGUCUGUAGAUUAUUGUAGAUUGUUCCACCUACGGAUGCCACUGGGGGAAAAAACCCAAACGUGAACACUUCAAAACCAACUCAAGCUUAUUGCCACCAUCAAGAACCUCCUAAUCACCACAGCCAAGCUUCUUCAUUUUCUUCAGACUGUUUUUAUGAAGGUUCUGUCUCUAUCACCCAUUCAGAACUUACUGCAUUCUUUUUUUGUUCUACAAGAAAAUGGAUGACUUGUCUUCCUAACUAUAUUGUAAGUUUCUGCAGAAAAGAGCCUCUGUUUUACUAUUCGAUGCCAUUCUCAGUGCCUAGAACACAGGAAUGUUCUACAAAUACUUGUUGCCUUGAAUAAACUGUAAAAAGUAAGUAUAGAAAAUACUAAAAAGAAAAUAAGUUUGAAAAUGGUAUCUAUGGCUAGUGGAAUUGUUUUCUGUCUUUUCUUUUGCUUUCUUUUAUUUUUAACUUUUUUUCAGAAAAGCAAUAUGUGCUCUUGUGGAGAAUUUGGAAAGUAUAGAAAGAGUAAUAAAAAACUGCUUGUCUAACAAUGAAAAAAGCAAAGAAACUGGCUACUUCUUAAAAUCAAAUUUAGUCCCAUAUUCAGCACUAGAUCUAUCCAAUAUCAUAAGCUUCAACAUUCAAAUGACUUAGAAAUUGGUUACUUAAGUGAGCAUUAUUUUUGUCUGCCCACCUAAAAUAAUAGGCCAUAUUUCAUCAUGGAAAAGAAAUGGUAAGAUUAAAUAAAUGACAUAAAUAACCCAUCCAUGUUAAUUUCCGCCGUUCAACUUUCUUUACUCAUUGCUUCUGGUCCUCUCUAUAUCAUAUAGAAUACUUCUAGGUACAAAGCUUGCCUUAUUUAAUUUAGAAACCAAAAUACACUUUAGUGUAGUGCUAAGCUUGAGAAUGAGCUUCUUUGAACUGUGAUGAACCUUCUUAAUUUCAAUGUAUCAUUAUAACUACUAAUUUAAUUUUUCAUGUUUUAGAGACACCUAGGUUUCAAUCUGCACAUUAUUAACAAUUAAUGGUCAGAUUUAGGAUGGGAUACUCUAAUUUUAAUAAAAGACUUCACAGGAAAUGUCAGUGAACUCUACAGAAUCAAUCAUUUAUAAGCAGUCUUUGGUUUUCACUGAAAUAUUUAUGAAUGAUAAAAUUAUU